CAAGCACAGAGGAUAACCCAGAUCAGAGCAGACUUUUCACCCUCCCUGGGGCAGAGCUGUCAGCAUGACAAUUGUUAGCUUGCUGUGGGCAGUCCUGGUCUCCACCUAUCUCAGAGCUAGUGUGGCCCAGACAGUCACUCAGUCUCAACCAGAAAUGUCUGUACAGGAGACAGAGACGGUGACCCUGAGCUGCACAUAUGACACUAAGGAGAGUAAUUAUUAUCUCUUCUGGUAUAAGCAGCAUCCCAGUGGGCAGCUGGUUUUCAUUAUUAGCCAAGAAGCUUAUACCCAGCAAAAUGCAACAGAGAGUCGCUUCUCUGUGAACUUCCAGAAGGCAGCCAAAUCCUUCAGUCUCAAGAUCUCAGACUCACAGCUGGGGGAUGCUGCGAUGUAUUUCUGUGCUCUCAAGGAGCACACAGUGAUAGGGACAAUAAGAAGAGGCUGA